UAGUCCACGCCGUAAACGAUGCGUGCUCGGUGUACGGACCCUCGACCUGGUCUGUGUGCCCAAGGUAACCCGUUAAGCACGCCGCCUGUGUAGUACGAGCGCAAGCUUAAAACACAAAGGAAUAGACGGGGGCCCACACAAGCGGUGGAUCGCGGGGUUUAAUUCGUCAAUAAGCGAGUAACCUUACCCAGACUUGACAUCCUAAUCGUAUUUUCUAGAGAUAGAAAAGUCAGCUUGGCUGGAUUAGUGGCAGGCGUUGCAUGGUUGUCGUCAGCUCGUGCCUUGAGGUGUUCGGUUAAGUCCGUGAACGAGCGCAACCCUCGUCGUAUGUUGUACUUUCAUACGAGACUGCCGGUCAUAAACCGGAGGAAGGUGAGGAUGACGUCAAAUCAGCAUGACCCUUAUGUCUGGGGCUACACCCACGAUACAAUGGCGCGUACAAACUGAAGCGAUGCAGCAAUGCUCAGCAAAUCGGAUAAAGCGCGUCUCAGUUCGGAUUGAAGU
rnacentral:rRNA from 1 species